rnacentral:rRNA from 1 species
CCUACGGGUGGCAGCAGUGGGGGAUAUUGCACAAUGGGGGAAACCCUGAUGCAGCGACGCCGCGUGUGGGAAGACGGUCCUCUGGAUUGUAAACCACUGUCACCAGGGACGAAAAUGACGGAACCUGGGGAGGAAGCUCCGGCGAACUACGUGCCAGCAGGCGCGGUAAUACGUAGGGAGCGAGCGUUGUCCGGAAUUACUGGGUGUAAAGGGAGCGUAGGCGGGGAUGUAAGUUGGGUGUCAAAACUACCGGCUCAACUGGUAGUCGCACUCGAAACUGAAGCUCUUGAGUGAAGUAGAGGCAGGUGGAAUUCCUAGUGUAGCGGUGAAAUGCGUAGAUAUUAGGAGGAACACCAGUGGCGAAGGCGGCCUGCUGGGCUUUUACUGACGCUGAGGCUCGAAAGUGUGGGGAGCAAACAGGAUUAGAUACCCCAGUAGUC